rnacentral:rRNA from 1 species
CCGGCGAGCGGCGGACGGGUGAGUAAUGCCUGGGAAAUUGCCCAGUCGAGGGGGAUGACAGUUGGAAACGACUGCUAAUACCGCAUACGCCCUACGGGGGAAAGCAGGGGACCUUCGGGCCUUGCGCGAUUGGGAUAUGCCCAGGUGGGAUUAGCUUGGUGGUGAAGGUAAUGGCUCACCAAGGCGACGAUCCCUAACUGGUCUGAGAGGGUGAUCAGCCACACUGGGACUGAGACACCGGUCCAGACUUCUACGGGAAGCACAGUGGGGAAUAUUGCCCAUGGGGGAACCCUGUGCAACCUGCCCCGUGUGUGAAAAAAGCUUCGGGUUGUAAAGC